rnacentral:lncRNA from 1 species
CGUAUUUCUUUGCUGCGUUUAGGAGGCGCUGGUUUGGGUUGGACGCUGCUGUGUAACCGCACGGCUGUGGGGAUGGGAAUGACCUCUGUCGUGAUUUUGCUUCUUAGGUUCGAGAAGAUCUGCACAAGCUUAAAGACAAGGUGAAAAACAUCAGCUUGAAAGGGAAUGUGGAAGCUGAGGAUAUCAGCGACCUGGAAACUGCAAUUGAAAGAACUGAGUUUGGGCUGAGAAAACACGCUGAAAACUAUUUAAGUGCUGUAAGCAGCCAAGUGUUAACUAUUUCUGCUACUGACAAUGAAGAAGUACAUUCCAAACAGCCCCCUGAAUGGGGCCUUCAAUGUGGUGCUUCUGAGAACCAGCUGGUUUUCCCACCGGUGCCCGUUGAGCCCAUGACUGCCCAGGCAUGCAGCAGAGCAG